UCAGAGGGCCUCUGCUGUCACCUGGGAAACCACUAGGAGUAGCAGUAGUAGGCAGGGUCUGGAGACUCGUAGCUCCUCCCCAAACAUAAAAGGAUUGACCAACCGCAACCUAAGUCCCUCCCCUCAGAUGCAAAGGCACACCUCGUCCCAGAGUUCCAUUGAGUCCUUGGAGUCUGGCCAGUUGUCGGGGGAGUCAGCGGAGAGGAGUAGGGAGGGGUACGCAAUGAUGGCCGAUCUACCAAAGGUCAAGCCUGUCCUCCAAAGGGAACAGCAUGGUCAUGUGGGACAGACUCCAAACCGACACUCAGGGAGACAGGAGCUCUUCAAACCAGCAAGCCACUCCCUCUCCAAGCAUCCCUCCAGACAGUGGCUAGAUGACUCAGGGGACCUAGAGAGAAACCACAUAGAAUGGCAAAAUGGCAGCAGUGAUAGACUGUCUCGAGUACACUCGUCCACCUCUUUGCACAUGCAGAGGCCCAGCAGCCCCACUAUAGAGGAGGAGGCCAGUCCAUGGAGGGCGCAACAUAGCUCUUCCUUGGAACAAAUGCAGGUACAGGUCUACUUGUGUGGGAUUUCUGUAGCCUAUAUCGAAUUGUACAUGUUUUAUGGAGGUUGUCUAAUUUAAUGCAGAAGAUGUCCCAUGUACACAGGUCAUCAGACUACUUUUCCUUCAGUUUACAUAAACUAAACUUCCUCUACUAAGGGCCAUGGCAUGUAUAUGCCUUUUCUCAUUUGGGUAAAAGUCUGUCCUUCAUCCUCUCUCCUCCAUGAUCCGGAAACCAUUGUGGUUGAGGAGAUGUCAAUUUGUUAGUAGGCGAACGGAAGAGUGUCCUUCCCUCAUCGAUAGCCACCUUCCAUCGAGGAUAGUCAUGUGUAUCCUACCAGAGUCCUUCGCAGAGGAGUUUUGAAAUCUGCCGCACCCCGUUUGAGCCAGCUUUCGUUUUGUC
rnacentral:lncRNA from 1 species